AAGGCAAAGUCCUUUCAUGUGCUAGCUGUAUUUAAAAAGCAACAGUGAACAGAAAGCAAAAUUAACCCAGUAUACUAUGAACCAAGGAAUCAUGACAACAAAGAAAGUAACAGCUAUACUGCUGGAAGACUGGAAAGGCAUCUCCAGGAUUUAUAAAAUCCUCUGAAACAUGUUGUUUCCAGAUGUAGGUCCCAAGUGCCCCAUCAUUUACUUCCUGUCCAAGCACUGAGCAGAUGGAAUUACACAAGUUGGGCUGUAUGAAACCACCCUCGAAUGCCUUCGUUAAACUUCAGGAUUUUAAAGAGUAUGUCUAGUUCCUGGCAGGGACCUUUCCAUACUUAUACCCCCAAAGCUGUAAAUUACUACCUCAUUAAACUCAAUUGUAAAUGA